rnacentral:rRNA from 1 species
ACUCCUACGGGAGGCAGCAGUGGGGAAUUUUGGACAAUGGGCGCAAGCCUGAUCCAGCCAUGCCGCGUGAGUGAAGAAGGCCUUCGGGUUGUAAAGGUCUUUCGCAAGGGAAGAAAACGUGUGGGCUAUAUCCUGCGCGGAUGACGGGACCUUGACGAGAAGCACCGGGUAACUACGUGGCCGCAGCCGGGGGAAUA